GAUGAACGCUAGCGGCAGGCCUAACACAUGCAAGUCGAGGGGCAGCACAGAAACAGCAAUGUUUUGGUGGCGACCGGCGGACGGGUGCGUAACGCGUAUGCAACCUACCUUUGACAGGGGGAUAACGGAGAGAAAUUUCCACUAAUACCCCAUAACAUCGAUCAAGGCAUCUUGAUUGGUUGAAAACUCCGGUGGUUAAAGAUGGGCAUGCGUUGUAUUAGGUAGUUGGUGAGGUAAUGGCUCACCAAGCCUACGAUACAUAGGGGGACUGAGAGGUUCGCCCCCCACAAUAGAACUGAGAGACGGACGAGACUCCUACGGGAGGCAGCAGUGAGGAAUAUUGGUCAAUGGGGGCAACCUUGAACCAGCCAUGCCGCGUGCAGGAAGACGGCUCUAUGAUUUGUAAACUGCUUUUAAACAGGGAUAAAGCACAGUAUGUAUACUGUGUUGAAGGUACUGUAAGAAUAAGGAUCGGCUAACUCCGUGCCAGCAGCCGCCGUAA
rnacentral:rRNA from 1 species